rnacentral:rRNA from 1 species
AGAGUUUGAUCUUGGCUCAGGAUGAACGUUGGCGGCGUGCUUAAUACAUGCAAGUCGAACGAGGAAUCAUGUACUCGUAUAUGGUUUCCUAGUGGCGAACGGGUGAGUAACGCGUUGGUGACCUGCCCCGAAGAGGGGAAUAACAGCUCGAAAGAGUUGCUAAUACCCCAUAAUAUCAUUAGGGUUAGACACCUUUUGAUUAAAGGAGUAAUCCGCUUCGGGAGGGGCCUGCGUCCCAUCAGCUAGUUGGUAGGGUAAUGGCCUACCAAGGCGACGACGGGUAGGGGGCCUGAGAGGGUGGCCCCCCACAAUGGUACUGAAACACGGACCAUACACCUACGGGUGGCAGCAGUAGGGAAUAUUGCCCAAUGGACGAAAGUCUGAGGCAGCAACGCCGCGUGUGCGAUGAAGGCCUUCGGGUUGUAAAGCACUUUUACGUGGGAAGAGGAAGGACGGUACCACGUGAAUAAGGAUCGGCCAACUACGUGCCAGCAGCCGCGUAACACGUAGGAUUCGAACGUUAUCCGGAAUUACUGGGCGUAAAGCGCGUGCAGGCGGUUUGGAAAGUUGGGUGUUAAAUCUCCGGGCUCAACCCGGAGUCGUCGCCCAAAACUACCAGACUAGAGGACGAUAGAGGGAGGUGGAAUUCCAGGUGUAGCGGUGAAAUGCGUAGGAUAUACGGGAGGAAUACCAGUGGCGAAAGGCGGCCUUCUGGCCCGCUCUUGACACUCAGACGCGAAAGCUAGGGUAGCGAACGGGAUUUAGAAACCCCGGUAGUCCUAGCCGUAAACGAUGCACACUUGGCGUUUGGUGUUGUAAAAGACAUCAGUGCCGAAGCUAACGCGAUAAGUGUGCCGCCUGAAUAGUACGGUCGCAAGAUUAAAACUCAAAGGAAUUGACGGGGACCCGCACAAGCAGCGGAGCGUGUGGUUUAAUUCGAUGUUACGCGAAGAACCUUACCUGAGUUUGACAUAUAGGUGGUAGGGAGCCGAAAGGUGACCGACUCUUCGGAGAGCCUAUACAGGUGAUGCAUGGCUGUCGUCAGCUCGUGCCGUGAGGUGUCCGGUUAAGUCCGGUAACGAGCGCAACCCUCACUGUAUGUUAUACGUGUCAUACGGGACUGCCGGUAUAAAGCCGGAGGAAGGUGAGGAUGACGUCAAGUCAGCAUGUCCUUUAUAUCCAGGGCUACACACACUACAAUGGGCAGUACGAUAGGUCGCAAAACCGCGAGGUGGAGCCAAUCCAUAAAGCUGUCCUUAGUUCAGAUUGUAGGCUGCAACUCGCCUACAUGAAGUUGGAGUUGCUAAUAAACGCGCGUCAGCACAGUGCGUUGAAUACGUUCCCGGGUCUUGUACACACCGCCCGUCACGUCAUGGAAGUUGGCAACACCUGAAGUCAGUAUCCCAACCGCAAGGAGGGAGCUGCCAAAGGUGGGGUUGAUAACUGGGACGAAGUCGUAACAAGGUAGCCGUA